UACGAAGGGGGGCUAGCGUUGUUCGGAUUUACUGGGCGUAAAGCGCACGUAGGCGGAUCUUUUAAGUCAGGGGGUGAAAUCCUGGAGCUCAACUCCAGAACUGCCUUUGAUACUGAGGAUCUUGAGUUCGGGAGAGGUGAGUGGAACUGCGAGUGUAGAGGUGAAAUUCGUAGAUAUUCGCAAGAACACCAGUGGCGAAGGCGGCUCACUGGCCCGAUACUGACGCUGAGGCACGAAAAGCGUGGGGGAGCAAACAGGGAAUUAAG
rnacentral:rRNA from 1 species